CCUACGGGGGGCAGCAGUAGGGAAUAUUGGUCAAUGGAGGCAACUCUGAACCAGCCAUGCCGCGUGUAGGAAGAAGGCGUUCUGCGUUGUAAACUACUUUUGAUUGGGAACAAAUGACUCUUGCGAGAGUAGCUGAGUGUACCAAUAGAAUAAGCCACGGCUAACUACGUGCCAGCAGCCGCGGUAAUACGUAGGUGGCAAGCGUUGUCCGGAUUUAUUGGGUUUAAAGGGUGCGUAGGCGGCUUAAUAAGUCAGUGGUGAAAGCCGAUCGCUUAACGAUCGAACUGCCAUUGAUACUGCUAGGCUUGAGUAUAGUUGAGGUAGGCGGAAUUGACAGUGUAGCGGUGAAAUGCAUAGAUAUUGUCAAGAACACCAAUUGCGAAGGCAGCUUACUAAAGUAUAACUGACGCUGAGGCACGAAAGUGCGGGGAUCAAACAGGAUUAGAUACCCCGGUAGUC
rnacentral:rRNA from 1 species